CACCGCGGUUAUACGAGAGGCCCUAGUUGAUAACUACCGGCGUAAAGAGUGGUUAUGGAAAAAUAUUUAAUAAAGCCGAACACCCCCUCAGCCGUCAUACGCACCUGGGGGCACGAAGACCUACUGCGAAAGCAGCUUUAAUUACACCUGACCCCACGACAGCUAAGAAA
rnacentral:rRNA from 1 species